rnacentral:rRNA from 1 species
GAUGAACGCUGGCGGCGUGCCUAAUACAUGCAAGUCGAGCGAACAGACGAGGAGCUUGCUCCUCUGACGUUAGCGGCGGACGGGUGAGUAACACGUGGAUAACCUACCUAUAAGACUGGGAUGACUUCGGGAAACCGGAGCUAAUACCGGAUAAUAUAUUGAACCGCAUGGUUCAAUAGUGAAAGACGGUUUUGCUGUCACUUAUAGAUGGAUCCGCGCCGCAUUAGCUAGUUGGUAAGGUAACGGCUUACCAAGGCAACGAUGCGUAGCCGACCUGAGAGGGUGAUCGGCCACACUGGAACUGAGACACGGUCCAGACUCCUACGGGAGGCAGCAGUAGGGAAUCUUCCGCAAUGGGCGAAAGCCUGACGGAGCAACGCCGCGUGAGUGAUGAAGGCCUUCGGAUCGUAAAACUCUGUUAUUAGGGAAGAACAAAUGUGUAAGUAACUAUGCACGUCUUGACGGUACCUAAUCAGAAAGCCACGGCUAACUACGUG